CGGUUUAAUUGGAUUCAACGCCGAAAUCUUACCGGGACCGACAGCAAUAUGAAGGCCAGGCUGAAGACUUUGCCGGAUUAGCUGAGAGGUGGUGCAUGGCCGUCGUCAGUUCGUACUGUGAAGCAUCCUGUUAAGUCAGGCAACGAGCGAGACCCACGCCCACAGUUGCCAGCGUACUCUCCGGAGUGACGGGUACACUGUGGGGACCGCCGCUGCUAAAGCGGAGGAAGGAAUGGGCAACGGUAGGUCAGUAUGCCCCGAAUAUCCCGGGCUACACGCGAGCUACAAUGGUUGGUACAAUGGGUAUCUACCCCGAAAGGGGACGGAAAUCUCCUAAAACCAAUCUUAGUUCGGAUUGAGGGCUGCAACUCGCCCUCAUGAAGCUGGAAUCCGUAGUAAUCGCGUUUCAACAGAACGCGGUGAAUACGUCCCUGCUCCUU
rnacentral:rRNA from 1 species